UGUACUCCCAGCGAAGUGGCGAAUCAACGCUUUCACCAUGCUUACCACACAUUGGAAGACGUCCUGCAGCUGUUAGGCCAGUUUAACUCCAAACCCUGGCCUCGUCACCUUCCAACAACGCCAAGAACCUCGAAAGUAUCUCAAACGUGCUCAUCCACGUUGAUGAACAGGAAGAUCAGCUGAAGAAGCAGAUCAUGGAUCCGCUCGUUCUAACCAGAGCUGUCCGUUCCUGUUUUCAUUCGAAACGCGCCAACUGUACUUUAACUGCACGGUCUUUGGCACCUCGCGGAGUUUGGCUGCAGUCCCAGCGGGAUGUCAACCUGGAGAGGCAAUACGCUCCCGGGUUUAGUCCACGCCACGCCGACCAGCACGAAUUCCGCGUGUGUCGCCUAUAGCACGAACGUGUCAUGGUACCGCGCAGAGAAAAUCUACUCGAGUGGGCCCAGCAGAUCAUAAGGACGUGCUGGAGGUAGAGUUCCAGGCUGAGGAAGAAACCGGUCUUGAACCAACGUUGGAGUUUCACGCUAUGGUUGCGUCCGAGCUUCAGCGAAGUGACCUGGGAAUGUGGCUGUGUGACGACGAACCGAAGCUGAUCUUGACGUCACAAUCAACAACUUGACGAUCAACUUCUGCCUGCAGGAGAGCAUCGGCAAGCAGCUGGCCGCGUUCCACUGCAGCUUAUCGAAGUGUUUCCGCUGAGGUGAUCCGGAACAUGCUGUGCGGCUAGCAGAACCCUGAGUGGACCCGGGAGGACAUUAUAACCUACACGAAAUCAUGCAAGUCAUCCAGCAAAAGUCCGUCUACUAACCAAACACCCCGAAGUCCGAGGAACUACACUCAAACCCCGAUUUUUGACACCAACUGUUGUCAAACGAACGGGGUCACUUUUUAAUUUUAGAUGUGUUAUCUCGUGACAUUUAUUGUAUUUUUUCUUUUUUCUAGUUUCGUGGCAGCCAGCAAACGGUUGGUGUUUGAGAACCUGAUUGCACUCCCGGUGCAAUUUAUUUCGCCGACUUCGGUCCUGUAACGCUAGAGCAUCCGGUGGCCCAGCAGAACGAUCCGACGUUUUCGUCCGGAACGAAAGCCUGAGGUCGCGAAGACCGCCACCAGCGAAGAUAGGAAAAAGGGCACCAAGUCCACGAAGUCAGCGUGGCAUUAUCGGCACUCCUCGGGUGGAGUACAAAUCGGAAAGAAGCUCCCUUCCAAUCUUUGUCCGUCCUCCGGAGUUGGACACGUGCUGCCAGACCGACCUGUUACUGUACAUAGCUCCGUCGUCGCAAUACCGCGAUCAUCGAGGAUGUCAAGUAGCUGACAGGAUCCUCGGCUCUGUAUCGUAUUCCUUAAGAGUUGAGCUAAAAUGUGUCCACAUCCUUUGGAUCGAUCCCGAACCCUUAGUAUUUUCCCGCAGACGGAUGCGUGCUUCCAGACGGACCUGCUACUACACCCCGGACCUCCGUAACGUUAACAACCUGCUUGUCGUUGAUGCUGUUUGCCGGGAGUAUUCGCUAUGUUCCCGAGAACAUAAUCUGCAUCGAAAUUGUCCCGCACGAAUUACUGGGCAUCAACUUCCUUGAUAGGACGCUGGUGUGCGUUCGGAACCGGCCAGAAAGGUUCGCUUACAAUGUCGUUCAAUUAGGUAUUCUUCUGAUGCUGACGGACUGAAAGAAAAGCGCGCGUUCCGCAAGUUUCCACAUCGCCGUGGGGACCUGACCGAGCUGCUGUGGUCAGUUCCGCCUACAACGUACCUACAACAAUAACUGGACCAUGGCGCAGUCCGCUGCCGAAAACGGCAGCAGGUUGAACAGACCUUCCGGUUCGUGGCAGACAGCAAAUCGGAAAUGAUUCGCGUUGACUUCGCAACACCAAAGCUGGUUCCGGCUGGACCAAGACCAAGGUUCAUUUUGAGGUUGCUCCAAAAAGCAAACAAGUUGGGACCGGUGGGCGGAACAUUUAACUUGGAACAGCGGUAUUAGCUCGGAAACAUCAAUUAUUUUUAUUAUUAUAUUGUGAAAGUAGUCUUUUUUCAUUUAUUUAUUGUACAGAAUUUUUGAAUAAAUAAACAUAUUGUCCAAUCUUAUACUU